rnacentral:misc_RNA from 1 species
GGAAACCACAUCAUCUUCAGUGUAACCUAGAAUUCCCUUCAAUUUUCCUUCAGAUUCCUCCUUGAUGGCAGCUUUGAUUUCAUCAUAGGUAGCUUCUUUUUCCAACCUGACUGUGAGGUCAACCACGGACACAUCAACAGUUGGGACUCGGAAAGCCAUUCCAGUUAACUUUCCAUUCAAUGCUGGUAGCACUUUCCCCACAGCCUUGGCUGCUCCAGUACUGCUAGGAAUAAUGUUGAACGAAGCAGCUCUUCCACCUCUCCAAUCCUUGGCUGAUGGUCCAUCAACGGUCUUCUGAGUGGCUGUGAUGGAGUGGACUGUGGUCAUGAGACCCUCAACAAUU